GGCGAACCACUUUCCUAAGACACCCUGUAUAUAUUAGUUUGAAAAUUAGUAGCAAUUGAUGUCCGAAGUAGGAGUUGUUUUAAGAGAUAAAAAAUCAAAAUAGGAGUUUGUAAAUGCUUCGCGAUAUAAUUGAAUAAUGUGGAACGCCGAUGGCCAUCAGAUGCGGUUAACCUCCUUUCGCUACCGGUCUAUCAAUGCAUUAAAGUACUUAUUGAGUCUGUGAAAGAGAAUGGUGUGAAAGAUGCGGUCUGUUCAACAAAAAAUUAUUUUUUAUGCGAUGAUUGUUGGGGCAAGUGGGCUUUGUGAAGAUAAUUUUAAGAAUAAUACCAAUGUGAGCCUCAGAGGCAAUGAUGUUAAAAGUAGAAGGAAUUUCGAAGAAUAUGAUAAUACUGAACGUGGUGAAGAUUUUCCACGUAAAAGGCAAGAUCAGAGCAACAUCCUUAAUCAACUCAUACCCGUGUUGGCCAUUCCUUUUCUUGCCCAAACAACCACAAUGCCAAUGGUACUUUUAGGAAUAAAAAUGAUACUGAUACAGAGUAUCAUUUUG